GGUGGCAGGAUGAUUUCCUUUCAUCCCAACCUUUAUUUCCACAGUGAAAUCAUCAUGAAGGAGCACUGUGUUGGCAUCCUCGAGCUCCAGCUGUUCUGUAGAGAAACUGGCGUGAAUUGAAGAAAAAAAAACUGGACGAUUGAAGGUUACUUACGGGCCACUCUUCAUUUACUAAGACUAUGUAAUUCUCAGAGAGGACACACAACCUGUGAAGAGUUGGAUGUAAAUGAUGAAGAGUCAUUGAGAAAAGGCUGCCUGA
ensembl:lncRNA TTTY20 testis expressed transcript, Y-linked 20